rnacentral:rRNA from 1 species
GGGUGAGUAAUGCCUAGGAAUCUGCCUGGUAGUGGGGGAUAACGUUCCGAAAGGAACGCUAAUACCGCAUACGUCCUACGGGAGAAAGCAGGGGACCUUCGGGCCUUGCGCUAUCAGAUGAGCCUAGGUCGGAUUAGCUAGUUGGUGAGGUAAUGGCUCACCAAGGCGACGAUCCGUAACUGGUCUGAGAGGAUGAUCAGUCACACUGGAACUGAGACACGGUCCAGACUCCUACGGGAGGCAGCAGUGGGGAAUAUUGGACAAUGGGCGAAAGCCUGAUCCAGCCAUGCCGCGUGUGUGAAGAAGGUCUUCGGAUUGUAAAGCACUUUAAGUUGGGAGGAAGGGCAGUAAGCUAAUACCUUGCUGUUUUGACGUUACCGACAGAAUAAGCACCGGCUAACUUCGUGCCAGCAGCCGCGGUAAUACGAAGGGUGCAAGCGUUAAUCGGAAUUACUGGGCGUAAAGCGCGCGUAGGUGGUUCGUUAAGUUGGAUGUGAAAGCCCCGGGCUCAACCUGGGAACUGCAUCCAAAACUGGCGAGCUAGAGUACGGUAGAGGGUGGUGGAAUUUCCUGUGUAGCGGUGAAAUGCGUAGAUAUAGGAAGGGAACACCAGUGGCGAAGGCGACCACCUGGACUGAUACUGACACUGAGGUGCGAAAGCGUGGGGAGCAAACAGGA